rnacentral:rRNA from 1 species
AAACCAGCACCUCAAGUGGUCAGGAGGAUUAUUGGGCCUAAAGCAUCCGUAGCCUGUUCUGUAAGUUUUCGGUUAAAUCCACUAGCUCAACUAGUGGGCUGCCGAAAAUACUGUAGAACUAGGGAGUGGGAGAGGUAGACGGUAUUCGGUAGGAAGGGGUAAAAUCCUUUGAUCUAUUGAGGACCACCUGUGGCGAAGGCGGUCUACCAGAACACGUUCGACGGUGAGGGAUGAAAGCUGGGGGAGCAAACCGGAUUAGAAACCCGGGUAGUCC